CCUACGGGAGGCUGCAGUGGGGAAUAUUGGGCAAUGGACGCAAGUCUGACCCAGCAACGCCGCGUGAAGGAAGAAGGCUUUCGGGUUGUAAACUUCUUUUAAGGGGGAAGAGCAGAAGACGGUACCCCUUGAAUAAGCCACGGCUAACUACGUGCCAGCAGCCGCGGUAAUACGUAGGUGGCAAGCGUUGUCCGGAUUUACUGGGUGUAAAGGGCGUGCAGCCGGAGAGACAAGUCAGAUGUGAAAUCCACGGGCUCAACCCGUGAACUGCAUUUGAAACUGUUUCCCUUGAGUACCGGAGAGGUCAGCGGAAUUCCUUGUGUAGCGGUGAAAUGCGUAGAUAUAAGGAAGAACACCAGUGGCGAAGGCAUCUCACGAAUCCGCGAUUGACGCUGAGGCACGAAAGCGUGGGUAUCAAACAGGAUUAGAUACCCGGGUAGUC
rnacentral:rRNA from 1 species